rnacentral:lncRNA from 1 species
UAUUGAGUUCUCAAAAUUUUAAUUUAUUAUAAUUUUUUAUUCAAACUAUAUAAAUUAUUAUAAUCAGAUCGCACAAUUCAAUUUAGUUAAUUAAAUAUAAAUGACUUGCUCAUGAGAAAACAAUAGGACAUCUUAAUUAAUGUCGCAUCACCAAUCACAGUAUGUUAAUAUUUAAAAAAAUAAGUUGAGCUAUUUGAGACUUAAUUGUAAUAAUUCAGAAAGUUAAUAAUUGAAAUUUGAGGAUCGGAUUAUCGUGCUCCUCAUAGUGUGAUUUGGCCAAUUUAAUAUCUCCACUUACAACCGACCGUCCCUAGAGCAUGUGGCAAAGGACUUGGUGGUUGGAAUCCGAGGUCACAAGUUCGAAUCCUAGUUGAUUCAUAUUUCCAGCUAAGUUUAUUUCUAAAUAAAAUAAAUAAAGCGGAUAGGGCCUAUCUCUCUCUCAAAAAAAAAAAAAAAAAAAAAAACCUCUACUCACAAACAUAAUUUAGCGUUGGUCUCUAGAAUAUUAUUAGCAAUGUAUCCGCGCUUUGCCGCCAGUACGAUUGAUAUAUUUUUAAUUAUAUUUAUAAAAUAUAAUAUAUAUUACUAUUAAAUACUUAUAUAAUAGACACAUAUUUGUAUUAACAUUUAAUUCUAAACUAUAAAAUUUUGUUAUA